rnacentral:rRNA from 1 species
AUUGAACGCUGGCGGCAUGCUUUACACAUGCAAGUCGAACGGUAACAGGCCUUCGGGCGCUGACGAGUGGCGAACGGGUGAGUAAUGCAUCGGAACGUGCCCAGUCGGGGGGGAUAACGCAGCGAAAGCUGCGCUAAUACCCCAUACGAUCUGUGGAGGAAAGCGGGGGACAGAAAGGCCGUGCGCGAUUGGAGCGGCCGAUGUCAGAUUAGGUAGUUGGUGGGGUAAAGGCUAACCAAGCCGACGAUCUGUAGCUGGUCUGAGAGUACGACCAGCCACACUGGGACUGAGACACGGCCCAGACUCCUACGGGAGGCAGCAGUGGGGAAUUUUGGACAAUGGGGGCAACCCUGAUCCAGCAAUGCCGCGUGCAGGAAGAAGGCCUUCGGGUUGUAAACUGCUUUUGUACGGAACGAAACGGCUCUGGUUAAUACCUGGAGCUAAUGACGGUACCGUAAGAAUAAGCACCGGCUAACUACGUGCCAGCAGCCGCGGUAACAC